rnacentral:rRNA from 1 species
UAGGGNGCACUCCACAAUGGGCGCAAGCCUGAUGGAGCAACACCGCGUGAGUGAAGAAGGGUUUCGGCUCGUAAAGCUCUGUUGUUAAAGAAGAACACGUAUGAGAGUAACUGUUCAUACGUUGACGGUAUUUAACCAGAAAGUCACGGCUAACUACGUGCCAGCAGCCGCGGUAAUACGUAGGUGGCAAGCGUUAUCCGGAUUUAUUGGGCGUAAAGAGAGUGCAGGCGGUUUUCUAAGUCUGAUGUGAAAGCCUUCGGCUUAACCGGAGAAGUGCAUCGGAAACUGGAUAACUUGAGUGCAGAAGAGGGUAGUGGAACUCCAUGUGUAGCGGUGGAAUGCGUAGAUAUAUGGAAGAACACCAGUGGCGAAAGCGGCUCUCUGGUCUGUAACUGACGCUGAGGUUCGAAAGCGUGGGUAGCAAACAGGAUUAGAUACCCUGGUAGUCCACGCCGUAAACGAUGAAUGCUAGGUGUUGGAGGGUUUCCGCCCUUCAGUGCCGCAGCUAACGCAAUAAGCAUUCCGCCUGGGGAGUACGACCGCAAGGUUG